AGUCGACGGGACUUUCGCUGUAGCAAUACAGUGGAAGUUCUAGUGGCGAACGGGUGCGUAACACGUGGGCAAUCUGCCUUAAAGUGGGGGAUAGCUCGGCGAAAGCCGGAUUAAUACCGCAUGUGAUGAGAGUAGACAUCUAUUCGAAAUCAAAGGUGGCGCAAGCUACCGCUUUUAGAGGAGCCCGCGGCCUAUCAGCUAGUUGGUGAGGUAACGGCUCACCAAGGCUUUGACGGGUAGCUGGUCUGAGAGGACGACCAGUCACACUGGAACUGAGACACGGUCCAGACACCUACGGGUGGCAGCAGUCGAGAAUUUUUCUCAAUGGGGGAAACCCUGAAGGAGCGACGCCGCGUGGAGGAUGAAGGUCUUCGGGUUGUAAACUCCUGUCAUUUGGGAACAAUGCUGACGUAUUAACUGUACGUUAGUUGAUAGUACCAGAAGAGGAAGAGACGGCUAACUCUGUGCCAGCAGCCGCGGUAAUACAGAGGUCUCAAGCGUUGUUCGGAUUCAUUGGGCGUAAAGGGUGUGUAGGUGGCGCGCUAAGUCGGGUGUGAAAUUUCGGAGCUUAACUCCGAAACUGCAUUCGAUACUGGCGUGCUUGAGGACUGGAGAGGAGACUGGAAUUCAUGGUGUAGCAGUGAAAUGCGUAGAGAUCAUGAGGAAGACCAGUGGCGAAGGCGGGUCUCUGGACAGUUCCUGACACUGAGACACGAAGGCCAGGGGAGCAAACGGGAUUAGAUACCCCGGUAGUCCUGGCAGUAAACGGUGCACGUUUGGUGUGGGAGGAUUCGACCCCUUCUGCGCCGAACCUAACGCGUUAAACGUGCCGCCUGGGGAAGUACGGUCGCAGAAU
rnacentral:rRNA from 1 species